AGCAAGGUCCACAACAGCUGGUACACCAGUAAAAUCUUGCAGCAAAACUCGGGCUGGUUUAAACGGUAUCUCCGCUAGCUUCGGAGAAGUAUUUUCCCAGUCGAUGAUCUUCUCAACAUCUUCCUUUUUGACUUGAAAGUUGUCACAAUUACGGAUUGCUGAUUCAAGAAGAAUUCUGAUAGAAUAUGGCAGCUUGUCAAUUCGGGGAUCAUUCAGAGCAGGUAGGCUAUAGUAUUUCCCAAAUUCACCACCUCCAGGCUUGGGAAGACUGGUGAGGAUUCCCUUAAAUGGGUUCCCUGAAGCCAUGGUAGUGAGUUUUCGACGGAAAUUGUUGAGAACAGGGGUAACGGCGGCAGUUCUGAUCUGAGAUGUAAGACUGAUCGGAGAUUUCCAAUCAACACCGUAUCUCCACCUCAGCGAUCGGAAAGUGGAAGAGAAACUCAAAGAAGAAUACCCACUAGAGCAAUAAGCACCAGUGGAUUUAGAAAGAGAUUUAGAUACCGGAAAAGAAGUGAAAAAAUUU
rnacentral:misc_RNA from 1 species